ACGUUCACUUCAGUCGAACACUGCAAGCACUAUUCAUCUCAUCGGAAGUUCAAAAUGCCGACAAUCGUUGACCGUCGUUCAACACGUGUCUCCGGUGGGAGUAAAGUCGCCGAUCCAAUCGCCAUCAACGGUGAGAUUGACUCCACUCCUCAAAAACGCAAACUCAGAUCCAGUUCCACUACUGAAGACAGUAGAGUAACUUCGGAUUUAACUCCGUCACCCUUGAAAAGCUCUCCGAGCAAAUGGAAAUCGCCGCGCCGAUGUGUCAAUGACAGCCCUAAGAGUACUCCAAAUGCAAAUCGAGGAGCUAAAGCAGUAAAUCUGAGCAAAUCGCCUGUGAAAAGGAGAUUAUCGGAAAGUUUUCUAGAGAAGCCUAUGUGGAAUCCAAAAGAUAUGGAGCAGUUAAAUGGAGUGAAAGAGGCAUUGCAUGUGUCUAGGGCUCCAUCAAAUUUGGUGUGUCGAGAAGUUGAGAACAAUAGAAUUCUGGAGUUCUGUAAGCAAGCAGUGGAACAAGAGAAGGCUGGAAGUUUGUAUAUCUGCGGCUGCCCAGGGACUGGAAAGUCUCUAUCAAUGGAGAAGGUUAACAAGGUCCUGGUUAAUUGGGCAGAAGAGUCUGGUUUUCAGGCUCCAGACACAUUAUCACUCAACUGCAGUUCUCUGUCAAACACAUCUGACAUUUUUGGCAAGAUACUUGACAAAAUUAAACUACGGAGAAAGAUAAAUAGUUGCACAUCACCAUUGCAGUAUCUUCAGAAAAUGUUUUCUGACAAGCAGCAGUCAGCAGUCACAAAGAUGUUGUUAAUAGUUGCUGAUGAGUUGGAUUACUUGAUCACAAAAGACAGAGCUGUGCUUCAUGAGCUGUUCAUGCUAACAACGCUCCCGUUCUCCAGAUUUAUUCUGAUAGGAAUUGCUAAUGCAAUAGACCUAGCAGAAAAAUUUCUUCCAAAACUACAAUCCUUGAAUUGCAAGCCAGCAGUGGUAACAUUUCGUGCCUAUUCUAAGGACCAGAUCAUCUCCAUUCUUCAGCAAAGAUUAAAGGCAUUUCCUUACACAGUCUUCCAGCCUCAAGCAUUGGAACUUUGUGCACGGAAAGUUGCUUCUGCAUCUGGAGAUAUGAGGAAGGCUCUAUGGAUAUGCAGGAGUGCAAUUGAGAUGUUAGAAUCUGACAUAAGAGAUUCUAUCAACAGCCUUGAUUUACCAUCAUUACAUGGAGGAGUUUCUGAUCAACAGAGGGAUUGUGCUUGUGAUAAAGCACUUAUACACGAGAGCAAUGUUGUUAGGGUUGAUCAUGUGGCUAUUGCUUUAUCAAAGGCAUAUAGAUCGCCAGUGGUGGAUACUAUACAAUCACUUCCACAACAUCAACAGAUUAUUCUUUGCUCUGCUGUCAAGCUAUUCAGGGGGAAGAAGAAGGAUGCCACUAUAGGCGAGCUGAACAUCUCUUACCUUGAUAUCUGUAAAUCAACUUUAAUACCACCAGCAGGAAUCAUGGAGCUAUCAAGCAUGUGUAGAGUGCUAGGAGACCAGGGGAUCCUAAAACUGGGGAAGGCUAGGGAAGAAAAAUUAAGUAGAGUAACUCUAAAGGUAGAUGAAGCAGACAUCACCUUUGCAUUGCAGGGAAUACGCUUCUUUCGAAAUUGUCUUCAACAAUCUUGAUGACUGACUUAAACAAUAUUGUGUUUCUCUAUUAUUUAUUCCGUUGCUCAAAUAAAUUGCCAGUUUAUGGUCCAAACAUGAAGAAAUCAAACUUGGUCAAAGUGGCUAUAUAUGACUUACGGAUGAAUGGAACAGGAACAUAUGGGUUCUCCAUUAAAUGUUGGAAUUUCCAUGUGGCUCCCUUAUCAUACUUUUAGUUCUCAAAGAGAAAAAUACAGUACAUUAUAGGAAGAGACUAUCAACUAAGAGAGUUGUGGAUGUAUACGGUAAUACAACAUUGAAUGUCUUUCAAUUUCAAGAAUUUCUGGAAACAAAUUUUGAC